GUGAGCUGGGAAGAGAAGACUUUGGAGGAGACUUGAAGGAGGCACACCAAGCAGGACCUUUGGAACCUGAACUAGAACGUACACCAGUGACUGUCCUGGCUCUCAGAACUUCAUCUUUCCCAGCCUCCAGUCAGCAGAUCCAGGGGACUUGACAGCUUCCAAGAUCAUAGGAAGAAACUGAGUCCAGGAAAGCGAAGUGACUUCCCCAGGGUCAAGUAGCCAAUUUGUGUUCAAGUCAGAAUUGGAUUCAGGAUCUUCUGACUCCAGUGCUCCUGACUCCUUCUAAUAUCCAAGAAAAAGUGAUAUACUUCUGUAUCUUCUAGACAUGCCUGGAAGAGUCCAUUCAUAGAUCUACCCCAUAUCAUGGAAUGGAAACUGAAAAGCUAAAAGUUUCCAUGAAGCAAAGUGAAUAUUCUGAGUAAGUCAUUUUCUCUGAGUCUGGCUGCUGUCACAAACCCUGAAAUCACUUUUAGGGGAAGAGGGAAAUAGGCUUAC